GCUGGCGGCCAUCUUGGAUGAUGGAUGGGCUACAAAGAAACAACACAUGGUCAGCACGGCAUAAGGAACAUUCAUGCAAUGUUUGGUUUCAUUCCAUUCAGUUGUUCUCUAAAAGAAGUCAUUUGCAUGCAUUUCCCAUAGGGUCCUAUGUUAAACUAAGUCCCCCGCUGGCGUCCAUCUUGGAUAAUGGAUCGGCUACAAAGUAACAACACUUGGUCAGCACCACAUUAGGAACAUUCAUGCCAUGUUUGAUUUCAUUCCAUUCAGUGGUUCUCUAAAAUAAGUCAUUUGUAUGCAUUUCCCAUAGGGUCCUAUGUUAAACUAAGUUCCCGGCUG
rnacentral:lncRNA from 1 species